rnacentral:rRNA from 1 species
GCCUACGGCCAUACCACCCUGAAAGCGCCCGAUCUUGUCUGAUCUCGGAAGCUAAGCAGGGACGGGCUUGGUUAGUACCGUGAUGGGAGACCGCCUGGGAAUACCAGGUGUUGUAGGCU